rnacentral:rRNA from 1 species
UACAGAGGAUGCAAGCGUUAUCCGGAAUGAUUGGGCGUAAAGCGUCUGUAGGUGACUUUUUAAGUCCGCCAUCAAAUCCCAGGGCUCAACCUUGGACAGGCGGUAGAAACUACCAAGCUGGAGUACGGUAGGGGCACAGGGAAUUUCCGAUGGAGCGGUGAAAUACGUAGAGAUCGGAAAGAACACCAACGGCGAAAGCACUCUACUGGGCCGACACUGACACUGAGAGACGAAAACUAGGGGAGCGAAUUGG